rnacentral:lncRNA from 1 species
UGAUCACGACCUGGGGAAACGGGAAAUAUACUUUUGACUUGUGAAGAUGAAGUUGCUUUUUGUUCUCUUGUGGCCACAACUACAAUUCAGCAUUAUCAGAAUCCACCCUUAACAGCUGGCAUAUGACAUAAAGAAGAAGCCUGCCUGCACCAAGGGGACAAUUUCCAGGCAAAGAUGGAAUGCAGAGCUCUUUGCUGAAAGCUAACCAUCUUCAAAAUAGGCCAUGAGACAAAAAGGUGCUGUUGUCUUUCACGGCUGCUGGUAAGAGGUACAGACUCUUAAGCAAUGGUUGAGGAACAACUAGUAUCACAAGAGACAAUGUUUUGAAUGAAACUCAAGGCAUACUCAUCAGAGAAUGAACUGUUCACUUCAAGUGAGGGGACAUGUAGUCUUCCCUCAGAGGACAAAUAGCUGACUCUGUGAAGGAGAAAUGCAUGGGUGACCCCAUUUGGGGCCACCAAGGUGCUGAACCAUUGCCUUCUGUUGGAUCUUAACCCACAUGCGGGGUUCCAUGAUGAGGGGAAAAGAGUAACGUUGGAGUUGAAAAGCCUGGCAGACACCAUGUUCGACUGAGUGAUCAGAGUGAGCGCCGCCAGCCAUGAAACACACUGAAUCUGGAACAAUGGUGCAGCCCACUAUGGCUUCUCUGAUAGUCCUGCCAAAGGGCCUCAGCUGAAGAACCCAGAAGACAGUGGAAAAAGUUUUUCCCUCCCUAUAUGGGAGUGUGAGAGCCCAACUCUGCCUCAAGAGAGAAGAAAGUCUAAGGAGUUACUUGUGCUCCAGAGCUCCCUGGGAAUCAGACAGAGAGCCUAAUGGACCUGGAGGAAAAUAAAAACCCAACUCCAUUUCCCCCUAGCCACCCUGUCCUAGCUCAGGGAAAAACUGAGAAGCUGAAUGAAGCUCACAGUCCAGGGCACAGGCUCAAGACAGACUGGGUCCUAAUCACAGGUCUACACACUGAGUCCUAAUCACAGGGCUAUGGAACCCUUCCCUUCCCCACACCUCACCAAAGGCCUAUUUGCCACCGUUUCUGACCCAGUGCAUCACAUCUGGCUAUCAACAAACAAUCACAAGGCAUAAAAAAAGGUAAAGACCACAGUCUGAAAAGACAGAGCAAAUGUCAGAACCAGACUCAGCUAUGGCACGGAUGUUGGAACUAUGAGACUGGGGAUUUAAAAUAACUAUGAUUCAUGUGCUAAGGGCUCUAAUGGAUAAAGUGGACAGUAAGCAAGAACAGAUGGGCAAUGUAAAUAGAGAGAUCAAAGUUCUAAGAAAGAAUAAAAGAGAAAUGCGAGAGAUCAAAAACACUAACAAAUGAAGGAUGCUUCUCACGGGCUCAUUAGUAGGCUGGGCACAGCUGAGAAAGACUCUCUGAGGCUGAGGAUAUCUCAAUAGAAACAUCCAGAACUGAAAAGCAAAGGGAAAAAAUGCUGAAUGAAAAAGGCAUAGAAUAUCCAAGGACUGUGGGAUAAUUAGAAAAGGUAUAUGUUUAAUAGGAAUACCAAAAGGAGAAGACAGAGAGAAAGGAACAGAUGGAAAGUUGGAAACAAUAAUGACUGAAAAUCAGACACCAAACCACAGAUCCAGGAAGCUCAGAGAACACCAACCACGAUGAAUGUCAAAAUUAAGCCUAGCCACAUUGUUUUCAAACUACAGAAAAAUCAGAUAAGGAAAAAAAUCCCAAAAGAUGCCAAAGGUGAAAAACACCUUACUUCCUUAGAGGAACAAAGGUAAGAAUUUCAUCUGACUUCAUGGAAACCAUGCAAGCAAGAAGACAGUGGAGUGAAAUAUUGAAUGUGUUGAGAAAAAAACUCCACCAGUCUAGCAUUCUAUACUCUGUGACAUUAUCCUCCAAAAGUAAAGGAGACUUAAAGGCUUUCUCAGACAAACAAAAAUUCAGGGAAUUUGAUGCUAGCAGAUCUGCCUUGUUAAAUGUUCAAAGAAGUUAUUCAAGGCAAUAAAAAUUGUUAUAGGUCAGAAGGUCAUAUCUACAUAACAAAAGAAAGAACAUCAGAGAAGAAAUAAGUGAAGGUAAAAUGAAAUUUUUAACUUGUUACUCUUAAUCUAACAGAUCAAUUUGUUCAAAAUUAUUGUAGCCACAAUGUAUUAACAUAUAUACAAAUGUGCUACCGAGCCAUGAAAAGAUAUGAAGGAAACAAAUGCAUAUUACUAAGUAAAAGAAGCCAAUCUGAGAAAAGCUAUGUAAUAUAUAAUUCCAACCACAGGACUCACUGGAACAGGUAAAACUAAGGUGGCAAUAAAAGGAUUAGUGGUUGUCCGGGGUUAGGGUGUGGGAGGGAUGAACAGGUAGAGCACAGAGGAUUUUUUAGGGCAGCGAUUCUUUAUGAUAUGACAAUGGUAGAUACAGCUCAGACACUUGUCAAAACCCAUAGAAUGUGCAAAUGAAAAGUGAACCCUGAUGUGAACUAUGGACUUUGAGUGAUAAUGACGUGUCCAUGGAGGUUCUUUGACUGCAACAAACAUGCCACUUUGGUAGAGAAUGUCGAUCAAGGGGGAGGCUGUGCAUGUGUAGGGGCAGGGGGCAUAUGGAAAUCUCUGUACUUUCCACUUAAUUUUGCAGUGAACCUAAAACUGCUCUAAAAAGCAAAGUCUAUUAAAGAAAAUUCACAAUAACCUAAAACAGAUGUAGGCUAGAUUUGGCCAGAGGGCUACAGUUUGUCGAAUCUUGACUUAGAAUAAGUCCUUCGUUGAAGAAGUAAAAACUAUAACAAAAACCACCAACCAAAGUGUGUUCCAGUUACUGCUGCUGCAUAAUAAAUCACCCCCAAACAACUCUUUGAUUUUGCAUAAUCGUGUGGGUCAGGAAUUUUGGAAGGGCAUCUGCUGGGCAGUUGUCGAUCACUGUAGUCAGAUAUUGGCUGGGGCUGCAGCCACCUGAGGGCACAAGGGCCAGACAUCCAUGAUGCUCACUCCCGUGGCCUGGCAGCGGAUGGUGACUCUUGUCUGGGGGCACAGCUAGGCAGUCUGCUGGAGCACCACAUGAGGCCUCUCCAGCAUGGAGUUUUCUCAAUGCUGCAUGCUGCCCCCACAGCAAGCAACCCAAGAAAACCGGUGAAAGCUACAUGGCCUUUCCUUUUCUAGUGCUGAGAAGCCUCAGAGUAACUUCUUCCCCAUUCUUCUGGUUACAAGAGAAUCAGGAGCCAGUCCCACGUCAAGGGGAGGGAAGGUAGACACCACCUCUGAUGGGAAGCAUGUCAAAGAC